rnacentral:rRNA from 1 species
UGGGGAAUUUUGCACAAUGGGGGAAACCCUGAUGCAGCGACGCCGCGUGAUUUAGAAGGCCUUCGGGUUGUAAAAAUCUUUUCUAUGGGAAGAAAAUGACAGUACCAUAGGAAUAAGGACCGGCUAAUUACGUGCCAGCAGCCGCGGUAAUACGUAAGGUCCGAGCGUUGUCCGGAAUCAUUGGGCGUAAAGGGUACGUAGGCGGGUAAGCAAGUUAGAAGUGAAAUCCUAUAGCUCAACUAUAGUAAGCUUUUAAAACUGCUCAUCUUGAGGUAUGGAAGGGAAAGUGGAAUUCCUAGUGUAGCGGUGAAAUGCGCAGAUAUUAGGAGGAAUACCGGUCGCGAAGGCGACUUUCUGGCCAUAACCUGACGCUGAGGUACGAAAGCGUGGGUAGCAAACAGG